rnacentral:rRNA from 1 species
AGAGUUUGAUCCUGGCUCAGGAUGAACGUUGGCGGCGUGCCUAACACAUGCAAGUCGAACGGACCCAAUUCUUCGGAUGAGGGUUAGUGGCGAACGGGUGAGUAACACGUGGGUGACCUACCCCGAAGUGGGGGAUAACAACUGGAAACGGUUGCUAAUACCGCAUGUGCUCGAUGAUUCAUUUCGUCGAGUAAAGUUCCGGCGCUUCGGGAGGGGCCUGCGGUCGAUUAGCUAGUUGGUAGGGUAAUGGCCUACCAAGGCAAUGAUCGAUAGGGGGCGUGAGAGCGCGACCCCCCACACUGGGACUGCGACACGGCCCAGACUCCUACGGGAGGCAGCAGUGAGGAAUAUUGCACAAUGGGCGAAAGCCUGAUGCAGCAACGCCGCGUGAGGGACGAAGGCCUUCGGGUUGUAAACCUCUUUUCUGAGGGAAGAGAACGGACGGUACCUCAGGAAUAAGUCUCGGCUAACUACGUGCCAGCAGCCGCGGUAACACGUAGGAGGCGAACGUUAUCCGGAAUUACUGGGCGUAAAGAGCGCGUAGGCGGCUCUGUAAGUCCGACGUGAAAGCUCCUGGCUUAACUGGGAGAGGUCGUUGGAUACUGCAAGGCUCGAGGUUAGGAGAGGAAAGUGGAAUUCCCGGUGUAGUGGUGGAAUGCGUAGAUAUCGGGAGGAACUCCAGUGGCGAAAGCGACUUUCUGGCCUACACCUAACGCUGAAGCGCGAAAGCGUGGGGAGCAAACAGGAUUAGAUACCCUGGUAGUCCACGCUGUAAACUAUGUGAACUAGGUGUUAGUGGCUUCGACCCCACUAGUGCCGAAGCAAACGCGUUAAGUUCACCGCCUGGGGACUACGGCCGCAAGGCUAAAACUCAAAGGAAUUGACGG